rnacentral:rRNA from 1 species
UACCAGACUCCUACGGGAGGCAGCAGUGGGGGAUAUUGCACAAUGGGGGCAACCCUGAUGCAGCGACGCCGCGUGAGCGAUGGAGUACUUCGGUAUGUAAAGCUCUGCCAGCAGGGAAGAGAAUGACGGUACCUGACCAAGAAGCCCCGGCUAAAUACGUGCCAGCAGCCGCGGUAAUACGUAUGGGGCAAGCGUUAUCCGGAUUUACUGGGUGUAAAGGGAGCGUAGGCGGCAGGGCAAGCCUGAUGUGAAAGCCCGGGGCUCAACCCCGGGACUGCUUUUGAAACUGUUGAACUAGAUUGCAGGAGAGGUAAGUGGAAUUCCUAGUGUAGCGGUGAAAUGCGUAGAUAUUAGGAGGAACACCAGUGGCGAAGGCGGCCUGCUGGACGACAACUUACGGUGAGGCGCGAAAGCGUGGGGAGCAAACAGGAUUAGAUACCCGUGUA